rnacentral:lncRNA from 1 species
GGUUACAUAAACAUCAUAAAAAUCACUAAGAUCAUGUAUUAAAAGGGAUACAACAAUCUAUGGUCAAGCACAAUUCUAAUAUCCAUAUACAUCAUCUCUGUACAUAUCUAUACUGACUAAGACAUUACAUUACAAUUUGAUCAUGUCCAUUGCUAACUAUUACAUAAGCAUGACUUCUUUACCCUAUCCGGACUCCCGCAUUAUACUGUACCUGCAAGCCUGGGGGUAAAGGGAGAGGGGUGAGCUAAAAGCCCAGU